UCGAGGAUAAACGCAUACUGCAUAUAACAAAAGGACUGAGAUGGAAUAUGACUAGACAGAUUAGACUCCUUCAUUUAAUUCAUGGAAGAAUUUAGAAAGUUUUAGAGAAAUUCUUUUCUUAUACAACUUGCUUUUUAUUGUCUAUAAAAAUGAUCAAAUCUCCUGGACUCAGCUAAAAGAUGAGCUCCUGUUUCUUAUGUCUGCGUACACACUUGAUGAUGACCAUGGAGAGGAUCACCAGAGCCAGCAUGCCUCCUAUAGAUGCUCCGACUGCCACUGCGAUGGUCGAGUCUCUGGGAGGAGGCACUGCACACACAACCAACAGGAAGUUCAUCAGCUCAGGAUCAUCAGGAACACACCCAAGUGGUGGAAGCUUCAUUGACAUCUUUUAAAAACACCGGUCACGUCACAUUCACAGGAUAUCUCUGGACCCCAGCGACUCUGAGCAGGAUGAAGUGCUUACUGAAAGGAAAUGACUCCUGAUGCUGAGCUGUUAGGAUCAUGGCUGGCUUCACUUCAACACAUUACUGCAUCUCCACUGAUCUUCUCAUUAAAAGCUUUUGAAAAACAGAUGACUAAAGACCCAAAGUGGUUUAGCUUGUGGCAUCUGAGAGAAUUAUGAAUUAAUCUACUGUUAAAGACUUUAAUGGCAAAAUGAUUUUGUUGAGAAAGAUAAAGCCUGUGUACUAUUUUAAACAGUAUUGCGUUGGGCAAAUAAAUAUUUGAAUUUUUCUGCUGUGUAAUAGAAGUGAUUAGCUAAUGCUUCAAGGAAAAGAGUGGAAGUUUGCUUAGACAUAAAUAAGCUACUUAAUGAUGCAGGAUGGUGGUGCUGCUUUUCAAGCCUCUGCUCAGAUGGUUGGCUAUAAUCUCUGGCCACAGGCUGCGUCUGCGCAUCUCAUCGGCAUGGCAACCAGAGCGAGGGCACUGUGCAGGGCUCGCAGCACAGUUUUGUACUUUGCCUAAACCCCCUACCCAUUCUGCUCAUCUCUAAAGCUCUUUCUCUCUGACUUCCAGCUCCCUCUUCAUUCCUUAUUCCCUCUCUCUCUGUGCAGUGGUAAAGCCUAAGUACAGCUUUUAGAUAAAACAAGUUAAAAAGUUCACACUUUUUAAAUUUUCACACAUAAUGUAGAUAGAUAGAUAGAUAGAUAGAUAGAUAGAUAGAUAGAUAGAUAGAUAGAUAGAUAGAUAGAUAGAUAGAUAGAUAGAUAGAUAGAUAGAUAGAUAGAUAGAUAGUAAGUGCUGUUUGUUUGGAGGAUAAUCUGCAAAUGAAAGUUAAUUACUGGAAGUGAAUAUCUGUUAAAAAAAGCCUACAGCAGAAAGAGGUGUGGCUUUCUUAGAAAUCUGUCAGUCUUGUCAACAGUGUAAACCUUUAGUAAAAAAAAAAGUUUGAAUGUAAAAUGAAAUGAAUAAAAUGAUGUUCACAUGGCUACAGACUUGGUAAGAGGACAUGUGUGCCCACCCUGCACCUGUCAGUCAUCUCAUCAAUCACACCCUUUUCUGCACCUGUCAAUCAUCUCACCAAUCAUGUCCGUUUAAUGAUCCUCAGAUAACUUCAAUAAAGCUCUUUAAUCAGAAGGAAAAUUCCUGAGGUCUGGACUGAACACAGUUCAAUAAAGAAUCUGUAGAGUUUAAGUGUAAGUUGUCUUCAUUAACUAACAUGACAUGACGGGUUUAAAACUUCUCCUGCAGCCAGACACUAGAGGGCCUCAGAGAUGUUCUGGCUCCUGGCUUCACUCUGCUACAGCCUCCACCUACGGCAUAUACAGUAAACACACUUUGGCUUCAUCUCUUGCAGAAUCACUGAGUUUCCAGUGAUGUGUUCAGUAUGUUAUUAAUUAUAACUAUAAUACACAGAGAAUGAGAGUGUGUGCCCAGCGAUGGGUUGGCACUCUGUCCUGCCUUGAUGCCCGAUGACUCCUGAGAUCGGAUAAGCGGUACAGACAAUGAAAGGAAAUGAAAUGAAAAUAAUACACGGAAUCCUGUUAAAUUAGUAAACGUUCGACAUAGCUGUAAAUGAUGUACAGCAGGUUACAGUCAUCAUCAUUAAUGUUUAUAAGUUAGAACAGGUUUUAGGUCUAUGCAUAAGUUACAUUUAUUCAGACAUACAAAAGUCUACAGUUACACAGUCUACAAUAUUGAUACUUCACUUUCACACUGUGGACUCU